rnacentral:rRNA from 1 species
GACGAACGCUGGCGGCGUGCUUAACACAUGCAAGUCGAACGGUGAAGCGAGUGUUUGCGUUCGAGGCUGAGUGGCGACCGGGUGAGUCACACGUGUGUAAUCUGCACAUCACUCUGGGAUAUGCACUGGAAACGGAGUAUCAUACUGGAUACGACAAACACUUGCAUGGGGUGUUGGUGGAAAGAUUUAUCGGUGUGGGAUGGACUCGCCGCCUAUCAGCUUGUUGGCGGGGUAAUGGUGAGACAAGGAGAGGACGGGUGGCCGGCCUGAGAGGGGGAGCGGCCACGCUGGAACGGAGAUGCGACCCAGACUCCUACGGGACGCAGCAGUGGGGAAGGUUGCACUAGAGGCUGAAGCCUGGUGCAGCGACGCCGCGUGGGGUAUGACGUCCUGCGGGUUGGAAACCUCAGUCAGCAUGGAAGAAGCGAAAGUGACGGUACCUGAAGAAGAAGCACCGGCUAACUACGUG